CGGCCCUUACCCGAGCCCUAAAAACUCUCCACGCCGAAGCCUCCUAUAUCCCGAUCACCUCUCCCCCUUGCGGCACCGAAUCCCUUUCUUUUUCCCCAUCUCGCCGAUUCCCUUUCUCCCCUUCGCUUCCUCGCGCCACCAUCCGAGGCCCGCAACGGCGUCGGCCGAUCGCCGGCCUCGCUUCCCCCCCCGGCAGAUCGUCCCUCUCCCAACUACUCUGCAUCGCCGAACUCCUUCUCCCGAGUCCUCACCUCGCGAUCCGCCGCACCAUUGCCGAUCACGACGGACCGCAGUCUCCUCUCUGCCCUCCUUCUCACGCGAGCACCACAGCGUCGCCUCCUCUUCUCCUCCCGGACAUAGAAGCUCGCCGGAAAGGAAAUCGAGCCACCUUUGUUUCCUGCCCGCAGAUCUGUGCCGCCUUGCCGUUGUCGAUGGGAAGGGGGAGCCAUUCGGUGGCUUUGUCACACCCACAUCUCAAGCGUUAGCAUCUGCUGGGAGCUCAACUAGGUGGUGCCGUUGUUGUCCAGUGCGUUGGAGCACUCGAUCGGUUGUAGACAAGAGGAGGAACCCGAUAAACCCGAUCGCUCCAGGGCCUUAUCUCAUCCUCUUCAUCCGAUCUAUAGUAGAGAAUUGUGUUUCCCCCAUGAAUGUAUUCUGACUCCUUCACCGAGCAGUUGUGGAACUAUAGAUCUGAUCUGAGUUGGCGGAUCCAUUUACUCACAGCAGCAUUCGGUUGCUUCAUUGAAAGGUUGAAGAUCUAGUUUGAGGUGGCUUCGCUCUUCACAUCGCCGAUGGUUUGUGGCUGACUCCGUUUGAUCCGUGUCAAUUUCUGGCUGCUGAAGAAGAAGAGGAUUUUGAUCCGAGAUGAGCGUCUCGACGUGAGAUCGUUUGGCACGAUCGACAC